CAAAUUACGUAUAUCUCGUCUCCUUCUCGGGACCAAAUCCAACUGUCAACUGUAAUCUUCCCUUCCGCCACCGCCGUCUAGGGACUGCGUUUAAACUGCCCGUGUUUUGCUCAUUUUUUGUGCAUUUUCGAGGAGAUCCCAUGCCCCUUAUGUGUCCAGACGAAAAGGUGUGCUGGAGUGGCCAAGGAACACACCUGCACGUCACCUAGAGCGGAGUGGAGUGGAGUGCCAAGGCUGAGGAUGGGACAGUGGGUGAUGGUGGAAAGAAAGUACCAGACAGUAACCCGCAGCCGCGCCCCACGGACCCGACCACUGCUUUGUGCAUCAUUAGGAGAGAAUGAACUGCUGAACAACUUACGUCAUAAAU